rnacentral:lncRNA from 1 species
CAAUAAUUGGCAGUAGAAAAACUCAAAUGAAAACUAUAACAAUGAAACUUAUAAUGAUUUAUUUUCAGACCAUUUAUUUAAUUAUUUUACAAAAACAUUUAGUUUACCAAAAAAAAAAAGGAAGGAAUUUGAUCAUGGGAACUCAUGAGAAUAAACGCUAUUUAACUAUUUCUGCUUGGAAUGUGCGUGGCCUUGGGGACAAAAUUCAAGAUGAUUUUUUUUAUAGAUAAAAUUCAAAGUGACAUAAAUAUAUUACUUGAAACCUGGAAAGGGGAGUGUAAAGAUUAUAAAAUAUCAAAUUAUAAUACUUUCUCAAAAAUACGCAAAAAGAAAAAAAAAAAGCACGUCGACAUAGUGGAGGAAUUAUUGUCUAUUACAAAAAAGAAAUAGCAAAAGGUAUAACCAAUAUUAAUGGUACAAAAUCACAAAAUAGAUUAUGGCUAAAACUUGAAAAGGAAUUCUUUGGUUUCAAAGAAGACUUAUAUUUUAUGUGCAUUAUACAUUCCCCCUAUAAAUUCAAACUAUUUUGAAAAUGAUUAUAGCUUUUUAGAAAAUGAGAUCAGUACUUUUGCAAGACAAGGAAAAAUACUUUUAAUGGGGGACAUGAAUGCAAGGACUGGUAAAUGUCCUGAUUUUAUUACAGGAGAUUCUUGUCAAAUAAAUAAUUUUGAUGCUAAAAAUCUAAUACCAAAUUAUUAUGAAGUUGACACUGAAAUUUCUAGAAACAAUCAAGAUAAUGUAACAAAUGUACAAGGUAAAUCCUUAUUAGAACUAUGUAUUGCCUCAAGGUUACGCAUAUUAAAUGGCAGAUUUAUAGGGGACAGCCUAGGCUACUAUACUUAUAUGUCAAUAAAUGGAUACAGUGCUGUAGAUUAUGCAUUAAUAAGUGAAAGUCUCCUGUCCUCAGUGAAAUACUUUAAAACUGAUGAUUUUACUUACUUGUCAGAUCAUGUACAGAUUCAGUUAACAUUAAAUUGUAAUAUAAAACAAACUUUUGACCUUAAAAGUCAUAUAGAAAAAAAAUGGAAAUAUUUGAAAAGAUAUAAAUGGACUGAAAAUUCACAUAACUUGCUACUUAAAGCUCUUAUGUCAGAGCAUAUAAAAAAUGAUAUAAUGAAGUUUGAAUUAAAUGAGUAUCAGGAAAAUCAAAAAGGGGUUGAUGGUGCAACUGAAAAUUUAACUAACAUUUUUGAAAAUAUCUCUGAUAUUACUUGUAAAAUUACAAAAAGAAUUAAAAGUAAGAGAAAAAAAUAUAGACAGGCAUGGUCAGACAAUUGUGUAUAUGAGACAAAAAAAGAAAUAAACAGGAUUGGAAAUAAACUUAAAAAAUGUCCAAAUAAUCAACUUAAACAGAAAUAUUUUGAAUUGUUAAAAAGUUUUAAAAAAAUGGUAAAAUUUAAAAAAGCACAAUACAGAGAGAAAAUAUUUAACUCAUUAACAGAUAGUUUUGAUAAGAAACCUAAAGAUUAUUGGGAAAUACUUAAAGGAAUGAAAAACAAAAAAAAUACUGGUAAUGAAGUGCCAGAAAUUUUAAAAGAUGAAGAAAUAAUUACGAAGCAUAUUCAGGACCAAGGAAAACCCACAUUUGUAAAUAUAAAAUGGAAAGAGGAAAUAGAAAAACAACUUGUUAAUAUUGAAAAAAACAUAAUAUCUAAUAGAGAAACAGAUGCUCCAAUAAAAUACUCUGAAAUAAAAAAUGUUAUUAGUAAGCUAAAAAAAAGAAAAAGUGCCUGGGCCAGAUACCAUUAUAAAUGAAAUAGUAAAAUUUAGUAAAAAUGUGUCUAUCAAAAGUAUUGUUAAACUGUUUAACCUUAUUUUGAAUACAGGUAUUUACCCAUCAAAAUGGAAAUACUCAUACUUAAUUUUAUUGCAUAAAUCAGGAGUAAAAACUGAUCCUAAUAAUUACAGGGGAAUAUCUCUGAUAAGUUGCUUACCAAAAUUGUUUAAUGCUGUAUUAAAUGAAAGAUUGAUUAAACUGAUGGAAAAUACUAUAAGUAAUACUCAAUUUGGCUUUAGAAAAAAUCACAGAACCUCUGAUAGUAUAUUUGUGCUUAAGUCUUUAAUAAACAAAUACUUACACAAAAAUAAAAAUAAAAUAUAUGCCUGCUUUGUAGAUUUAAAAAAGGCUUUUGAUUCUGUCUGGAGAAAAGCUUUACUUUAUAAACUGUAUAAGGCAGGAGCAGGGAAAAAAAUAUUUAAUAUUAUUAAAGGACAGUAUGAGGAAACAAAAUCUGCCUUCAAGCAUCAAGAGUGGCAUUCAGAAUAUUUUGAAAUCACACAAGGGGUUAAACAAGGGGAUUCAUUGAGUCCUACUUUAUUUAAUUUAUUUAUUAAUGAUUUAGAUGCAGAGUUUUCAAAUGAAAAUAGCUGUCCAUUAGAACUAAUUGAUACUAAAGUAGGAUCUUUACAAUUUGCUGAUGACCUUUUAAUAUUAUCUGAAAGUAAAGAAGGCCUACAAAAUAGUCUGAACAACUUAGAAAAGUAUUGUGAAAAAUGGCAAUUAACUUUAAAUAUUAAUAAAACUAAAACAAUGAUUCUGCAGC